AUCACACUACUAAUCUGUAUUAAAUUUAACUUUCGAAUAGGUCAAAUGUAUAAUCUGGAACUGUUUAUUCCCUCUGUUGGCUGAAGAGGCAAUUCAGAUGACUGGCUCACACAUAGCCAUGCAUACUGCCACAUUUGAAAUUAGAAAGAAGUCAGUGUUUUGGGGAGCCAGGAGCUAAGACUGAGCCUAAGUUUCACUGCCUCUGAAACUUCCAAGGAGAAGAGACUUUUAUAAUCCAAG
rnacentral:lncRNA from 1 species